UACGUAGGCAGCAAGCGUUGUUCGGAAUUACUGGGCGUAAAGAGUGUGUAGGCGGUGCUCUAAGUCUGUUGUGAAAUCUCCCGGCUUAACCGGGAGGGUGCGGCGGAAACUGGAGUGCUUGAGGGUGGGAGAGGUAAGCGGAAUUCCUGGUGUAGCGGUGAAAUGCGUAGAUAUCAGGAGGAACACCUGCGGUGUAGACGGCUUACUGGACCAUCACUGACGCUGAGGCACGAAAGCGUGGGUAGCAAACAGG
rnacentral:rRNA from 1 species